CAACAUUUAACACAGAGUAGAGAAGCUUCGGCUUUCCCAGGAGGGAUUCUUAACUCGCCUCUGCAGCUGUGAGCUCAUCAUUCAUCCACUACAAACUAUUUUUGCUUCAAAGCUGGGAUGUCCAAAAAUCAGCUACGGCCACAUACACGAGUUGAACUUCUAUUCAGUGGAUGACAUUAAAGCUGGAUACAUCAAGUUUCAGGACUUCAGUUCAAAGCACCAGUGUGGUACCAGGCUGCCUGCAAUAAAAGGGGAA